UGCAGGUGAUGAUGAUGAUGAUGGUGAUGGUGGUUAAUAUAAUAUAUAUUCAUAAUGUUGUUAAUAUUCAUCACCACCGCCAUCAUCAUCACCAUCA
rnacentral:pre_miRNA from 1 species